GAUGAACGCUGGCGGCGUGCCUAAUACAUGCAAGUCGAGCGAACGGACGAGAAGCUUGCUUUUCUGAUGUUAGCGGCGGACGGGUGAGUAACACGUGGAUAACCUACCUAUAAGACUGGGAUAACUUCGGGAAACCGGAGCUAAUACCGGAUAAUAUUUUGAACCGCAUGGUUCAAAAGUGAAAGACGGUCUUGCUGUCACUUAUAGAUGGAUCCGCGCUGCAUUAGCUAGUUGGUAAGGUAACGGCUUACCAAGGCAACGAUGCAUAGCCGACCUGAGAGGGUGAUCGCCGACACGAGAACUGGGACACGGUCCAGACUCCUACGGGAGGCAGCAGUAGGGAAUGUUCCGCAAUGGGCGAAAGCCUGACGGAGCAACGCCGAGUGAGUGAUGAAGGUCUUCGGAUCGUAAAGCUCUGUUAUUAGGGAAGAACAUAUGUGUAAGUAAAUGUGCACAUCUUGACGGUACCUAAACAGAAAGCCACGGCUAACUACGUG
rnacentral:rRNA from 1 species